rnacentral:tRNA from 1 species
GGAGAGGUGGCCGAGUGGCCGAAGGCGCUCCCCUGCUAAGGGAGUAUACGGUGAAACGUAUCGAGGGUUCGAAUCCCUCCUUCUCCGCCA